rnacentral:lncRNA from 1 species
AUGAGUUCAGUGCUUUUGGCAAAUUGGUAAUGAAAAUGAAUGAACGGUGGUACUUAUAUUUUAGAUAUCGAGUUCGAUCUCUAUUGAACACUUAUGCCUUAUAGGACUAUCAGCUAGAUUUCUUUAGGAUUAUCAAUGGAGUCGAUCCAUGAGGCACACCCUUUUUUCCAAGCACAAACUCAAGUUUAUUGAUGGAACACUUCCAAUCCCAUCUCAUUAAGACAACAACUUUGAAUCUUGGGAACAUCGUAAGGUGAUGAUCUUUUCUUGGAUCACUCAAUUCGUCUCUUCAUUGAUUGCUCAAAGCAUUGUCUAUACUGAAAAUGCCAUUGAUCUAUGGAAUGAACUAAAUGAUCGCUUUAUCAAAGGUAAUCGUUUUCGGUUUUCAAAUCUUCUCCGCGAAAUUCAUUCAAUAUGUCAAGGUGAGCAUUCCAUGACUACUUUUUAUACUGUUUUGAAAACCAUUUGGAUCGAACUUGAUCAAUUACGUCCUCUAGCUUCGUGCAUUUGUACAAAACCUUGUGUUUGUUAUCCAAAUAUUCAGAAAAAUCUAAAGAACCUUAAAGAUUACGAGUUUGUUAUUUCUUUCCUCAAAGGCCUCAAUGACUAAUUUUCUUCUGUUAAUACCCAAAUCCUCAUGUUGGACCCUUUACCCCCAAUUUACAAUGUCCUUGCUUCGGCUAUUCAACAAGAAGGUCAAAUUUUCACCACUACAAGUAAUUUUGUGUGAUCCCACAAUUCUUUCUUCUUCAUCCGAUUAUCAACAACCAAAAUUCACUCAUCCUUAUGGUCGCAGUCAUGAUUCUGGGGAAACCACCUAAUUCUAGAUCUUCUAAAAUGUGCAAUUUUUGUGGAAAAGGGCGACAUACUAUAGAAUCAUGCUAUUAUAAACAUGGAUUCCUCUUGGAUAUAAGUUUCACAAUCGUUCUCCUAUGGCAUAUAACAUUGUUAUUGAUGAUGAAGACACCGAAGAAAGCAUUCAACCACAACAUUAUUCUUCCUUUGAUGCAUCAAACAAUAUUACCAUUUAUAGCACUCAAUAUCAACAAUUUUUAGAAUAUAUUAGUUAUGUCCAUAACAACCAAUGGUCUAAUAAUUUCGUCAAUUCUAUCAUUGGUGAGUCUCCUUUUUCUGCAUGUCUUAUCUCUUCCAACAAAAAUUCAUGUAUUUCCUCUUCUUUACCCUAUUGAGUUUUCGAUAGUGACACAACUGACCAUGUAACAAAUUCUUUAUCUUACUUUACUGAAUAUCAUCAUAUAUCUCUCUGUAAAAUAAAAUUAUCCAAUGGCUCUGUUACUCACACUGUUCAUGCUGACACAAUUAAAUUGUCUCCUGAUCUCAUCUUAUAUGAUGUGUUAUUUAUUCCUGACUUUCAAUUCAAUAUUAUAUAUAUUCAUAAAUUGAUUGUUUCUUUAAAUUGUAACUUGAUCUUCACUAAACCUUCUUGUUUCAUUCAGGAUCCUCAUCAUCCAAGAUGAUUAGAUAUGUUGAAGUUCAUGAAGGACUUUAUAUUCUGGACAAUUAUGUUUUUUCUGUUCAACAUAAUUAUGUUGUUACUUGUAAUAUUUCCCAUUGUCUUGAUAAUAACUCUUUCAACAUUAUGACCAAAUCUUUUGAUAUUUGACACUAUCACUUAGGUCACCGUUCUAAUUAUAUUUUAAAGAAUAUUGCUACUCAAUUUCCUUUUGUUAAGUUUCAUUGUAAUAAAAAUUUGUGACUAUUGUCAUUUAGCAAAUCAAUCUAAG